CGGCAGCCCAGACUUUCCUCUCCAUCCUUGCAUCCAGCAUGAGCUGACCCACAGCCUCUGUGAAAGGGACUAAUGAAAAGCCUCAGAGCUAACUAAGCUCUCCCGCUCCGUGCUCUGGAGUGGCAAGAGGGGCUGUGUCGGUGACACCCGUUAGGAGCUGGUCACAAAUCCCCCUACCUCGCAGAAGAACUGAAAGAAAGGGUGACUUUCAUCCCAGAACUGGUUCAUACAGAGUUCCACAGUCAGGCCCUCUUGCCUCCAUAUGGGCCAUGCUGAGGGGUCAUGCCAGCUUCAGUGCUUCCAGGAGAAUCACCAGAGGCCUCUGCAGGGUCUGCACCAGCUCAGCACAAUCAGCACAAGAGCACUCCUAGAAGAGCCAGCUCUACCUCUGGAGUCACCAGAGGCAUCCAUCUCCACCGAGUCUCCCUUCUUUAUCUUCACAUCUUCACUUGUUCUUGUUAAGAUUUAUAGGAUGUGAAUUCCACACUAUGAUUCCAGCUAAGGUCCUCCUGCUUUGAGCACAGAUUCUAAAAUAUGAGACACUGAUAACUUCAUUUUUCAGUGUUAUAAUUGAGCAAAUUAAAGGCCAAGUAGUGUAUACUGAACUGAAGGGGGAAGAAAGAUGUAAGCAGAGCUGUAAGCAAGCCAAAGGGAAAAAAGUAACAAGACUUUGGAGAUGACAGAGGGAAUGGAUUGUUCAUAAUAAUUUAUUAAUUUUUAUUAACACAUAGCUUCUCAGAGAGGGCAUCCAUUCUUUCAAUACUAUAUUUGUUGUGGAAAACACAUAUUUCACCUUUAAAAUCUUCUGGGAGCUCUCUGGCUCACAGCUAGAACUUGUGCUGGCUGCUUCCUGGGCCUUUACGUGGUUCACUGGGGAUUUCUUGGCAUUAUGCUUCUGGAUUGGGUCCACUGUUUCUUGGAUCCUGUGUACUCUUUCUUGAAUUCAUUUUCUAUUUUGCAGUGUACAUCCCCAAUUAGUUCUCCCAAAGAUAGCCUAUGAGAAGGUCUUUGAGUCCUUAUGUGUCUGAAAGUAUUUAUUUUGCAGUUCUAUUUGAUUGAUAGUUUGGCUAGGUAUGGAAUUCCAGAUUAAAAAUCUAUUUCCUCAGAACCUGGAAA